GCCAGACUCCUACGGGAGGCAGCAGUAGGGAAUCUUCCACAAUGGGCGAAAGCCUGAUGGAGCAACGCCGCGUGGGUGAAGAAGGUCUUCGGAUCGUAAAACCCUGUUGUUAGAGAAGAAAGUGCGUGAGAGUAACUGUUCACGUUUCGACGGUAUCUAACCAGAAAGCCACGGCUAACUACGUGCCAGCAGCCGCGGUAAUACGUAGGUGGCAAGCGUUAUCCGGAUUUAUUGGGCGUAAAGGGAACGCAGGCGGUCUUUUAAGUCUGAUGUGAAAGCCUUCGGCUUAACCGGAGUAGUGCAUUGGAAACUGGGAGACUUGAGUGCAGAAGAGGAGAGUGGAACUCCAUGUGUAGCGGUGAAAUGCGUAGAUAUAUGGAAGAACACCAGUGGCGAAGGCGGCUUACUGGACUGUAACUGACGUUGAGGCUCGAAAGCGUGGGGAGCAAACAGGAUUAGAUACCCCGGUAAUG
rnacentral:rRNA from 1 species